AGUGAACGCUGGCGGCGUGCUUAACACAUGCAAGUCGAACGAGAACGGAAUAUAGCUUGCUAUAUUUGUCAGCUAAGUGGCGCACGGGUGAGUAAUGUAUAGAUAACCUGCCCUUAAGAAAGGAAUAACAGUUGGAAACGACUGCUAAUGCCCUAUAUGCCUUUAAUACAUAAGUAUGCAAGGGAAACGCUUUAGUGCUUAAGGAUGGGUCUGGAUGGUAUCAGCUUGUUGGUGAGGUAAUGGCGCACAAAGGCUAUGACGCCUAACUGGUCUGAGAGGAUGAUCAGUCACACUGGAACUGAGACACGGUCCAGACUCCUACGGGAGGCAGCAGUGGGGAAUAUUGCACAAUGGACGAAAGUCUGAUGCAGCAACGCCGCGUGGAGGAUGACACAUUUCGGUGCGUAAACUCCUUUUAUAUAGGAAGAUAAUGACGGUACUAUAUGAAUAAGCACCGGCUAACUCCGUGCCAGCAGCCGCCGCGG
rnacentral:rRNA from 1 species